rnacentral:rRNA from 1 species
GGGAAACAACCCAGACCGCCAGCUAAGGUCCCUAAUACACAUUAAGUGGGAAACGAUGUGGGAAGGCUUAGACAGCUAGGAGGUUGGCUUAGAAGCAGCCACCCUUUAAAGAAAGCGUAAUAGCUCACUAGUCGAGUCGGCCUGCGCGGAAGAUAUAACGGGGCUAAAUGUGUAACCGAAGCUGCGGAUGCGUGCUUGCACGCAUGGUAGAGGAGCGUUCUGUAAGCCUGUGAAGGUGAGUUGAGAA